rnacentral:rRNA from 1 species
GACGAACGCUGGCGGCGUGCCUAAUACAUGCAAGUCGAACGCAGGGGGGACGGGUGAGUAACACGUGGGUAACCUCGCAUCAGAGGGGAUAACACUUGGAAACAGGUGCUAAACCGAGAUUGUGGGAUGGACCCGCGGUGCAUUAGCUAGUUGGUGAGGUAACGGCUCCCCAAGGCCACGAUGCAUAGCCGAGCUGAUAGGUUGAUCGGCCCCACGGGGACUGCGAGACGGUCCAGACUCCUACGGUAGGCAGCAGUAGGGAAUCUUCGGCAAUGGACGAAAUUCUGACCGAGCAACGCCGCGUGAGUGAAGACGGUUUUCGGAUCGUAAAACUCUGUUGUUAGAGAAGCGGUAUCUAACCAGAAAGCCACGGCUAACUACGUGCCAGCAGCCGCGGUAAUAC